UUAUAGUUCAAGCGUUGCUGCAAAAUCAGCAACCGGGCGUGGAAACCCGAACA
rnacentral:ncRNA from 1 species